rnacentral:tRNA from 1 species
GGAGCUGUGGCGCAGUGGGCUAACGCCCUGGCCUGAAGCGCCAGCAUCCCAUAUGGGCGCCAGUUCGAGUCCCGGCUGCUCCA